UCAGGAUGAACGCUGGCGGCGUGCCUAAUACAUGCAAGUCGAACGAACUUCCGUUAAUUGAUUAUGACGUACUUGUACUGAUUGAGAUUUUAACACGAAGUGAGUGGCGAACGGGUGAGUAACACGUGGGUAACCUGCCCAGAAGUAGGGGAUAACACCUGGAAACAGAUGCUAAUACCGUAUAACAGAGAAAACCGCAUGGUUUUCUUUUAAAAGAUGGCUCUGCUAUCACUUCUGGAUGGACCCGCGGCGUAUUAGCUAGUUGGUGAGGUAAAGGCUCACCAAGGCAGUGAUACGUAGCCGACCUGAGAGGGUAAUCGGCCACAUUGGGACUGAGACACGGCCCAGACUCCUACGGGAGGCAGCAGUAGGGAAUCUUCCACAAUGGACGCAAGUCUGAUGGAGCAACGCCGCGUGAGUGAAGAAGGGUUUCGGCUCGUAAAGCUCUGUUGUUAAAGAAGAACGUGGGUAAGAGUAACUGUUUACCCAGUGACGGUAUUUAACCAGAAAGCCACGGCUAACUACGUGCCAGCAGCCGCGGUAAUACGUAGGUGGCAAGCGUUAUCCGGAUUUAUUGGGCGUAAAGCGAGCGCAGGCGGUCUUUUAAGUCUAAUGUGAAAGCCUUCGGCUCAACCGAAGAAGUGCAUUGGAAACUGGGAGACUUGAGUGCAGAAGAGGACAGUGGAACUCCAUGUGUAGCGGUGAAAUGCGUAGAUAUAUGGAAGAACACCAGUGGCGAAGGCGGCUGUCUGGUCUGCAACUGACGCUGAGCUC
rnacentral:rRNA from 1 species